ensembl:piRNA 21ur-4982 ncRNA
UCCACAUUUUCAAACUGAUCA